rnacentral:lncRNA from 1 species
CUAUAUUGCAAAAAGACUGGCGGCGAUAGCGGCGGCGGCGAGAUCUCAGCGGAGCCGCUCGCUCGGUUUCUCCGGGGCUGGUGGACUGAUGGAGCUGGAUGGAUGGAUGGAUGGAUGGAUGGAUGGAUGGAUGGAAGGAUGGAGGGAGGGAAGGAGCGAGUUCUUCUUGCAGAAGUGGAGUGGAGGAGGGAAGGAGGAGGGGGUGGGACAAGGUAAUCUUUUUUCUUUCUUUCUUUUUUUUAAUGCGCGGCUCUAUUGGUGGGUCGGGUGCCCCCCAGUGAAGUGGCCGCCCGGCCCAGGAGCAGAGGGUUCGGUCUCAGUCCUUCUCUUUCUCUUCCUCCUCCUCCUCCUCCUCCAGCUUCGCUCGAGCAGCUGCAAGGCUGGCUGGUUGGCUGGCUCUCGGGCCCCCGCGAGCUGCUCGGCUUCAGGCGCGGCGGCGGCGGCGGCGGCGGCGACUGCUGCAGUCGCUGCUGCAAGUUUGGCAAUGUGGCUUCACUUUGUAUAUUCGGCACCCCCCCGCCCUCCCGACCCCCCCUCCUCCUCCUCCUCCUUCUCCUCCUCCUUCCUUCCCUCCCUCGCUCGCUCUGGUCUGGCGGAGGCGGAGGCGGCGGCGAUUGCUGAGCUCCAGAAAGCGGCGGCAGCAGCGGAAACAACAACAACAGCCCGGGCGGGCGGCUGGGUGGCUGGGCGGGCGGGCAGGCGGAGUCCCUCGCAGGCCACUCACAGCAGCCUUCCGCAGGAAUGCAAGCACGAGGAGUGGAGCUAGCGGAGCUGGGGGCGAGCCCGACUGCCGGGUCGGAGCGGGGCUGCUGCUGCUGCUGCUGCUGCUGCCGGCCGUGCUACUGCUACUGCCGCUGCUGCUGCUGCUGCCGCUGCCGCUGCCGCUGCUGCUGAUGUUGCUGUUGCUGCCGCUGCUGCUGCUGCUGCUGCCUCUACUGCUGCUGCCGCUGCCCGGCUCGAAGGCGGCGCUGGCCUCUCGCCCGCUCGCGCUCUCCCUCCG